CCUUGAACAAGCUGGGUCUGUUCAGGGAACAAAAAGACAUAGUGUGCUGGGAGUGGUGUGAGCUGAGAGACUGGGAGAGCGCCUGGAGUGAGGGUGGACGGGUGGGUUCAAGUCGGGGAAAGGCGCACCUGAUUCAGUUAUAAAAAGGUUAUUCUCGCUGCUGUGUGGGGAAACCAUCAGAGGCCUUGGGAUGUUUUGACUUUGGUUUCCUUCACUUCCAAUGGGUGGUCUCUGUCUCUUCUGUUAACUUCCAGGGGAAAAAUCUGUGAUUGACCUGGCUGAGACCUUCGCCCCAUACGUCUCUGGGUGGAAGAACCUCAUGCAGGUCCUGUUAUAAAAGAGACUACUCAAUAAAGCACAGGUGGCAGGCCAAGAAAAUCCAGGCUGUCUUGGGCGGUCAGCUGGGCCUCCUGAGGCAGAGGACUGGGGUUGUUCCCAAGGCUUCUGGGCAUCCCGAGAGAUCCAAGACUCUGGGGUCCAUCCGGGGAGUGGCUGUGGAGCAGCUAAGAGGGGAAGUGGGCAUUAGACAUGUCCUCUCUGGAAAGAAAAAGGUGAACACCCAGGAGAAGAGCUAGCAGGGAGAAGGAGGAGCGGGCCAAUCACGAAGGAGAAAGUCCUAGAUGGAGCCUUCUCAUCCUCAGAAACCACACUGGUUAAAUCAGUGGAUCUUAACUUUGGCUGCAUAUCGGCAUCACCACAGGAAGUUUCAAAAAUUCCAGUGCCUGAGUCCCACCACAGGGAUUCUGAUUUAAUGGGUUUGGGGGGCGGCUUGGCUUUGGGGAUUUUUAAAAGCUCCCUAGGUGAUUCCUAGAGUCAGCCAACUUUGCAAACCAUGGAGUUAAAAACCCAAAACACAAACUUAUUUGCUUCGGUCCUGAAGGAUCUCAGCUGACUGUAGUUGGCCUGGUUAUUGUGAGCAAAUCUGAUUAAGGUCACAGUUCUUAGCAGCUGUGUGAUCUUGGGAUGGUCUCUAACCUCUGGGAUGCUCCUCUGUAGAAUUGUGAUGCUGUGAAGAUUGGAUGAGCUAAAGAGCUGGGCAUGGGGUGGAGGCCACCAGUAGGCGACAGCUAUUGAGUGUCUUGCAUGACUAUAGGAUGGCAAAUAAUUCUCAAUAUGC
rnacentral:lncRNA from 10 species